rnacentral:snRNA from 1 species
GUGCUCGCUUUGGCACACGUGUACCAAGCUCGGAACUAUACGGAGAAGACAGCGUGGCCCUUGUGCAAGGAUGACAUGGAAAUUCACAAAACAUUACAUCAUUUU